AGGAGGAACAGCCCCAGUGGCGGGGCCGCUCUGGAAACCUGGAUUCAGCUCCGGCAGGAACUCCGUCUGCAGGGCCUGGAGGCUCCGGGGCGGG
rfam:Canis lupus familiaris chromosome 3, whole genome shotgun sequence.